rnacentral:rRNA from 1 species
GACGAACGCUGGCGGCGUGCCUAAUACAUGCAAGUAGGACGCAGUUGCGAACGGGUGAGUAACGCGUAUGUCACUACCUAUUAGAGGGGGAUAACUAUUGGAAACGCUACCUAAUACCGCAUACUAGUAGAUGGACCUGCGUUGUAUUAGCUAGUCGGUAGGGGAAUGGCCUACCUAGGCAACGAUACAUAGCCGACUUGAGAGGGUGAGCGGGAAAACGGGGAAUGAGAAAAGGCCCAGGAUCCUCAGGGAGGGAACAAGAGGGAAUCAUCGGAAAUGGGGAGAACGCUGAACGAGGAACGCCGCGGGAGUGAUGAAGGGUGUCGGAUGGUAAAGCGAUGUUGUUAAGGAAGCGGUACUUACCCAGAAAGGGACGGCUAACUACGUGCCAGCAGCAGCGGUAAUUC